rnacentral:ncRNA from 3 species
CGGGAGUAACUAUGACUCUCUU